GCUGGCGCUGCGCCAGGGCCUGGGCCAGGGCCUGCUGCUGGCGGGCCUGCAAACGUUCCAGUCGGGCGGCCUGCU
rnacentral:tRNA from 1 species